UCCGAGUUGACCCCGGCAGUCUCCUAUGAGUCCCCACCAUUACGUGCUGGCAACAUAGAACGAGGGUUGCGCUCGUUGCGGGACUUAACCCAACAUCUCACGACACGAGCUGACGACAGCCAUGCAGCACCUGAACCGGAGGUCCCCGAAGGGAAGACCCUAUUUCUAGGGCUGUCCUCCGUUGUCUAGCCCGGGUAAGGUUCUUCGCGUUGCGUCGAAUUAAACCACAUGCUCCACCGCUUGUGCGGGCCCCCGUCAAUUCCUUUGAGUUUCAGCCUUGCGGCCGUACUCCCCAGGCGGGGCACUUACUGCGUUAGCUACGGCACGGAUCCCAAGGAAGGAAACCCACACCUAGUACCCACCGUUUACGGUGUGGACUAC
rnacentral:misc_RNA from 1 species